CUGAAUUCAGGAAAAUGGGAUUCCCUGUGGAGAUGCUUCCUGGUAUUUUGUCACAGAGUAUUUUUUGACCACUGGCAGGUCUACUUGCUGGGAAGUGGGGGUCUUGCUGUACCUUAGAUCCCAGGUGAAAUUCAAGGGAGUAAGGAACCCCUUCAGGACAACGUUAUUGCCACCUAUGAGGAGCAUGAGGACAGCGUGUAUGCUGUGGAUUGGGCCUCAGCUGACCCAUGGCUGUUCGCUUCCCUGAGUUACGAUGGGAGACUAGUUAUCAACAGAGUCCCCAGGGCACUGAAGUACCACAUACUGCUCUAGUGGCCCAUGGCACUGCUGCUUGGUACUCGGCAAAUUCUCAGAAAUCUGCAGCUACGAGGUAAUUCCCUUCACAGACAUCCCUCCUUGGGAGAACCAGCGUUGCUUCUCCAGGAGCUCUAAGGACUGGAGCUACUGCCAGCAGCUCAUCUGAUGUUGUCAGCACACUGCUCAGCAUGGGAGGGAGCCAUACUGGACACAGCAUUCCUGUGUGAAUUGAUGGUUGCCCAGUCUCUGGUCGGUUUCUGGUUUCUGUCUUAAGGGUGUUGGGAGUUUAACUUUUCCACAGUGUGUUUCCGCCUUCCUGUUGUCAUGAGAUUACAAACUGAAAUAAAGUCAGUGGGAUGUG
rnacentral:lncRNA from 1 species